CGGAAUGCCAUUUUAUUUUCCCUAAAUGAAUGAAUAAAAUCAGUCAGCCAGGAAAAAGAAACAGUACAGCACUUGCACGCUGUCCUUCCUCUCCUGCACUUCUUUGCUUCAAGCACAAACUGCAUGCUGGUGCCCAAACGCACCUAAAGGAGGUGGAUGCAGAAGUACUGCUGCAAAUGCACCAAGAGCCAUGUCCCUCUGCCAGCUGGCCUGCACCAGGCAGGUGCAAGGAGCCGGCGAAGCAUCGAGGUCUUUGCUGCUCUCUCCCCUCCUUUGCCAGCUGGGAAGAGGGAGCAUGGCGUGGAGGGGAGGGAAGGCAGCAGGCCUGGCACUUGGCUGUGUUCCAGCUGAGCAGCCUGCCAGGAACAAGCAACCAGCCCACACCCUGUGGAGGCCCGCUGGCCAUCGCUGCUCCACUGAGCUGCCCACCUGCCCCAGCGGUGCAGGACCAAGAAUGAGAACUGCAUCAAACUCACUUCUAAGUAAACUGAAUUAAAUAGCAGGAGUGGGAGCCUGGAACAGCUUCCUGUGAUCAGAGCACUUAGCCAGCAUCACUGCCGAUAAGGAAGCACGAGCAGCGCUGCUUUUUAUUCUCUCUUUGUGGGUUUGAUCUUAUUAUAGAAAACAAAUUUACCAAGCAUGAAUUACCACUGAAAUUCUUAAUGCUUUGGCAAAGAAGAAAAGUCAGAUAUGGAUGCUGGCAAAUGCACAUGGCUGCUAGCGAGAAUGCCUCUCCUCUGCACACUUUUGUCUCCCAACUUUCAGCUAGGAGCUGCUGUGCGAAUUAUUUCAAAAGAUGGGCUGCAGAAAAAGGAUCAAUUAAUCUGCCGAGAGAAUUUCAGAAUCCAUUCUCAAUGCCGCUGAUAGCCGGAGACCCCCUCCCUGCGCUUGGUAAUUACCCCAAUAUUUCCUGCACGCUUGUUUAAACGGCUUACACUCGGGCUGCCUGUGAAGAAGAGCUCUCCGUCCGCUGAUCUGAGGCAGGGGAGAAAGGCAGCUCUCCUUAUCGCUCUGCUUCACUCCAUCUGCAGCCAGCGGGGGGGCCGCCUCCUCAUUGUCCCUGGGACAGGGGACGAGCAGGCUGGGGGACGCAGAUAGAUGUGACACCGAAGGAGAGCAGGACUUUCCUACCGUGCCGGUGCCGAAGAAAACUCAUCACGCUCUUGCGGUUUCAAAGGCAAAUAAGGAGCCCCUUUAAACCACAGGCCUGUCCCUUAAUUAUACAAAUGCAGCGAUCAAAGUUAUUAUCUGUCCUUACAAAGGCUGCAGCUUUAAUUGAAUGGUGUGUUGCUACCUUUGAGAGAAAGCGUUCAAUCUUCGUGGAGAGCAAAGGGACAGGAGGGAGAAAAUGGAAAAAAGCGAGGGAGCAAGAGGAAAGGAACAAGAGAAAGGGAUAUGGCAUUUAACAAAUUUGUGACGUCUUCGCCAUAUUUGCAUAUUGUAAGUUAAAAAGUCUGAAGAAUUUCAGGUCUGAGACCCUGCUCUACAUUGAGCUAAGUGGGGGCAAGCCACACCACAGUGGGACCUCAUUACCACGGUUCUCCAAGCUAAUGAUGGGGCUGCAACCAUACUACUGUAGUCUGAAGAGAAACCAGAGGGUGACAGGCAUUAGGAGCACUGCUGUGUGUAUCUCACAUAGGGCAACCAAGACAUUACGACUUCAUGAAGACCCUGCAGAGCACACCUGCUUCAGAACCCCCUGAUGAAUACCAUCUGGUUCAAGUGAUUUACUACACUUGCAUUUCAUGAGCUGCGCCGCGACAUCCCAAAUUAAGACAAGGAAAAUAUAGUCUGUGUUUCAGGAAAAUCUUUCUGACAGAUCUAUUAGGCUAUGGAGUAAUCUUUCAGUGGGAGUCUCAUUGUCUGAGACAUUUAUAGCAAGACUGGACAAAGCACUGGUAAAAUAUACUGCAGGGGACAAUUCUGCAUUAACAGAAGGGUAGUCUAGAUAUAUGGCUUUGAAAUUGAGCUGGUCAGAAAAAAAUUUAAGUGAACCAUUUUCUGUCAGAAAAUAUGGUUCUGACAAAACUAAAUAUACUUUGUUGAACCAAUGAUUUUGCUGACCAUUAUUUCAGAGAGAGAAAAAAAAGGGGAAUUUUAAUGUCAAAGUGUCAUACAGAAGUUUUUUUUCUGAAUAAAGAAUUUCAUUACUUUCCCAUCAAACAUUUUUGAAAUUCCAUUCCUGUACUACAGAAGUCAAUUUGAAAACAAAAUAUUCUGAAUAACCCCAAAUUUCUAUUCUUCCCUCCAGAACUGUACUUCCUAGAGUAGUACUGAAAUGAUCAAUUUUGUUGCAGUCAAAAAUUAAAGCAAAUUAGAAAUAUCCUCUGUCUUCACCACUGAGUAUUGCCUUCCAACAUGUUUCUGAAAGUUCUCCAUGGCAAAUAUUGCCUCUUUAUGCUCCAAGUCUUUGAUUCAUUUCACUGCAUUUGUCCUCUCCCUAUGUCAUUUCAGUGCUUAGUGUCUCAGCUCUUUCUGGAUUAAAAGGAGGAGAGGAAUGUGCAUUUUUCUCUGAGAAGCAGAACUGAAAGUCAGUUCAUGACAGCUUAUAUUUUAAUAGCAAAUAUCUUCCUCAUUCCCUGUGGAGUGGUUUCUUUAUUGCCCUCAGGUUGCUUUGCAGUUUGGUUCUGCUUUCACUGAUGUGCUUUAUCCUUCUUGCUAUAAUAUAAUUGGAAAACUUAAUCAUGGUUGAAAUCACUCUAAAGACAGACGUGGAAAAGCAGUCCAACUCUGAGGGAGACAGGAUUUUUUUUAAAGCUUGGCUGGUGACAAAAUUUCCUGGAAACCCUUCUACCCUCUUCAGGAGUAGGAGACAAGGUUUCUUAUAUUAAAAAAAAUAAUCUUUCAAAAGUUUCAAAGCCUGCUGUUUAUUUUUGAUGUCCUGGGAUAUGGCUGAGUUUAAUAGCUUUGAAAACUACUGUCCUCAGAAGCAGAAAGUGACUAUAUUUGAAGGCUGCUUCAACUUUCUAAAGAAGCCUUCUGAAAGUGUCCUCCUACUUCUGUUGGAACUUGCCUUCUGUUUAGUCACCGUUUGAAGCCUAAUAUCUUCUACAAGCUAGAACAUGAAUUUGCAAAAAGAAAACACUUCUGUACUCCCACUUAGAUGUCUCCCACAGUGUUUUUCUUUUCUCAUGAAAAUUCUCUCUUCUGCUACCAAUGGAAAAUUACCUUCGCUGUCUCAAUUGAGCCCUGGAUGCAUCCCACACACAUCUUGCCUCUUUGAAGAUUAUCAGAAAGACAGGAAGGUUUCCUUCCCACUUUCUGGGAUUCAUCUGUGAUCCCACUGGUGACUGGAAGAGUGAAGUGUUCCCAUCUCCAUCUGCAGAACCGAGACUACAGGCAACUACUACUGCUCAGCAGCACCUUAGCAACUAUGUGAUCAUACCUUGUAAGAGUGAGGUUGUUAAGGUUACCUAGCCACCGCACUUAGUUUUAUGGACUGUUAUGUGCUCUUAAGCUUUUAUAACAAAGAAGGCAUAUGCAAACCAGGUAUUGCCUAUUGCUGCCUUGUGUUUGGACAAUAACCUUCUUACACUCUGUAUCAAGAGGUGUGGGCUUUUAAUAGGGUACAAAGAAAGAAGGUGCUCAGAGGUCUAAUUUGACUGCUUUUUAACAAAAAAGAAACUGAGAAACAGCUACCUUGUAGCUCCCACAGCCUUGAGCAAGAAGCUCUCCGGAGCCUGUGCUGCAGAACAGCAGGGGGAAGGAGAUUUCUGGGUUCUUUCAUAGACAGUAACUUUGAGCAAUAAUGUCCCACAUUUUAUCCUGGGGGGAACAAAAGGAAAAGAAAAGUCCCAGGAAAGAGGUGGGAAACAUGGUUGGAAGUUAAUGAAAGUCUUCUAUUCAUAUUACAAAUAGUCAUACCAGUCUGCAAGGAGAGGUUUCUGCCAGCUCCAUCUAUAACACAUAUUGUAGGACUCAUCACAAGGACUUAACGGUACUUAACCCAACAUAAAUGCAUUGCUCUCCCACAUUCACAACGCACACACAGGAUUGGUUUAGUUAGUAUCCAAAUUCACUGCAUAGGUUUUUUUUUAUGUGUGUUUUUGUACCCAGGGAAGAAGUGAAAUACAUUGUUGAUAAGUGAAUACAAAUAUAUCGUGCUUGCAUGAAUUCACAGAGGCCUUUUUCAUAAAAACAGCUGUGAUCAUUUUUCAAUGUGGCUGAGAAACCAGAGAUCUUUUCCUAUAGCUCACCGCACUUAGAAGCUAACCUGUGGAUCUCAAGUGACCUGUAAUGUUCAUUUCGGCUUUUGGGCACUUUUCCUGAAGUUUUAAACCUGAUGCUCCAUUUAGGGAAUUUGUCAGUGUACAGGGAGGCCUAAAAUUCACCUGCAGAGGCUGGGGAAAUGAAGCAUGGAGGAAACACUAACAUUUUGAGGGCACAGUGUGCAGAAAAGAUUUAAACUCGUAUUUUCACAGCACACUGUUCUGUGAGAGCGGAGCAGUGAACUUGAUGCAGGGAGGUAUGAUAGAUAUUACACUGUGCUUUCAGGUUUAACAUUGAGAUCAAGCUAAUAGUUACAUUAAAGAAGUCAAGAAUUAAUAUACAAAUAUUUUUAGCACAAACAGUACAGUCUGCCCAUCACAAAAUAUAUGUGCAUAUCUGUGAUAAAAACAACAUUCCAUUAACUUGCUCAUUUCAAAUCCAUCACCCAGAUCUAGUAUUUGAUGAUUAGCUUUAACUAUUCCUAAUAUGUUAGUCUUGCUCACAUCCAUCCAUACAUUGAAAUGAGUAUCCUAGCAUUUAGUAGUAAACACGAGAGAUGGAUCUUCUCCUGAGGUCUGAACUCAUCUUCUUAAACUUUUUCAUUAACAUCUACUCCAGGGCAAAUAUUUCAGAUUUCUGUAGCCUUGCACAGUAUUUCAAUCCUUAAUUAAUAUCAAAUAUUAUUUUUUACUGAACAUUAAACAUACAUAUAUCCACAUAUUCAAUGUUGUUGUCUAGAACAUGCAAGAAAAAGGACUUCAGCACUUCCAAAUGAAAUAUCACAAAAUGCUGAAACAGUAAUGAUUAGAAAAGAAAGCCGACAUGCAAGUGGCACUCAAAUAAGUAAAGAGUGUUAAGAAAAAUGCCCUAGAAGUUUAUUUAGUGGAUCAGGAACCACAUUCUUUUCUCAUCUUUGAUUUAAAAAGUAUAUAUGCAGUCACUUGGCUCACAAAUGCAAAAGUAAACUAAGGUUAACAUUAUCAGCUUCCUUGAAUCUGUAUUAGGAGGCCAAGACUACCGUGAAAACAGUGCAGAGGUAUAAUUGACCAUGUUACCUUCUAACUUAAGGGGCUAAGUUAUUGCCAGAUGAAAGAGCUCAGGCUUUAAAUAACAGCAGUGGUUUCAGAUCUAGGGAAUGCUAUUAAUGUUAAAAGCAAUUAUAAUGCAACUUAAUGACUUUUCCUGUUUUAUUUACUUUUUUAUUUCUAGUAUGUAACAACUUUCAAGAAGGUUACAGAAAAAUAGUCACCUGAAGGCAAAAAAGAAUUUCACGUUGAUCUCACUUUUAAGUAUUUAGUGCUAAAUGGUUAGAAUCUGAUAGCCUUAUACAUGUUAUUCUUUUACUCUGUAAGUACUUCUAAUAAUUCCUACUGUGGAAUAUGUUUGCCUCCGUAAAAAUCAAGAGGAUGGGGAUCUGACAUUUAAAUUCUGCAGGAAAAAAAAAAAAAAAACACUGCAGUUUAUUCUGGGAUAGAUCUACUAACUGGUAUUAGUGCUCCCACAGGGAACAAGGGAAAAUAUUUCUAGCUCUUCUUUCAUGGGCAGAUGGGGCUUCAGAUACAUAGCUGACUUGAUGACUGGACACACUGCCAGUAUGGCAGUAUCUUUCAAUAUACCUUAAUUACCAUAAAAGGAAUAUUUUAUUAACAAGCUAAAAAAUUCAUACUUUAUUCUCAUUACAUAGAAGAGGUGAAAACCAAAUGAGAACAUUGCAAGCAACUUGACAAUAGUCACUGUAUUCACUGUUUGUCUACAAUGCAAAUAGAAAACGCAGUACUCAGCAAGCACAUUGUAUAAUUCUCUUCCUAUGUGUGCCUAUUUUCUUCUCCUGUAAUUCCAAUGACUUCUGCAAUGUUACUACCUGAUCACAUAAGGGAAAACUAAAGCUGAAACAAGACCAUUAGGCAUCUUCAUUAAUUUGGAGUGGCAGCAUACAAGUAACCUUAUUUGUUUUAUUUAUGACUUACUAGCCUCUGGUCUCACCUUCUAAGAGAGACUUAGGACAGCCUCUAAAAUACAAGGCUUCUUGAAAGUGAACGUUAGCACUCCUGAGUGAUGCUGCAAUUUGAUUUCUGACUCUGGGUCACAAGACGAUCAAGUGAGUUUCUAUUUUCUCAGUUUCCCAGGCAAGCAGGUCAGGGGGGUCUCCUGUGAGACAGAUUAAACUAGACAAAACUGGAUUGUGCCCUGGUCUGUAUAAAAAUCUGUGCUUGAGAAUCAUAUUGCUAAAAACUAAUGCUAGCCCAAAUAAUUGUAAGGGGUUGGAGAGAUACAGUGUUACCUGUUGAACAUUUUCAUUACUAUAAAUAUGUAGCUUUAUCAAUACAGAAACAUCAUAAAAAUUCUUAUUGGAAUAUUGUCAUGCCACAUUCAAAUUCAUUAUUUCUUUUUAAAUUGCAGUGUUAAAAAUGCUUAAGGUCAUUAUGGUACUGCUUCCUGAUAAUUUUGGUGCUUACAAUAAUUAAAGAGAAGGCAUUAUAAAAGAACAAAACCUAUCCCAUGAGGGUCAAAUAUUCAGAAGUAAAACGGGUAUUCAGGUUGCUCAUGGAGCAAUUUAUUGAAGUAGGAAUUACACAUCUAUGGAUGUAUCUUCUUCUCAUCUCCCCUGAGCUGGGAUACCCUUGCUGGUAUGCACACAGCAUAAACCUAGGGCUAUAGUCCUCACUUAGAAAACAAAAAAUAAUAAAUCAUAGCUUUUUUUUUUUUUACUAGCCUAAGGGAAAAAAUGUUAAUAAAUGUUAAAAGCCCAUCAGAAGAUUCUCCCUGGUGCCACUGUCACCCAUUGCUACCAGCAGGCAAGGAAACACUUCAUGCUAAAUCCCAUGCUAAACUCAAUUUCUUGAAUUCUGAACUGCAUUCUCUUAAAUACUAAACUACUUUUGAUCCCAGAAGCAUGUUGACAACAGAAAAAGAAGUCUGAUACAGCUAUAACAUUUUAAAAAAUAGAUUAUUAUCCAAAUACUUUUGAUAUACUGCUAUUUCAAAAUCCACUGAAGGUCAUUAUUAAACAAGAUUUAUAUAUUAAAUAUAUUUAUGGUAAGAUCAUCAUGUAGGUAAGAUAUAAUUAGCUUCAACUUCUUUGCUUUAUGGAGAAAAUUUCAUUAUGGAAUUAGUUGGGUUUUUUUUAAGCUUCAAAGAUAGAAAAAAAACCCCAACAAGAAUGAAGAGGAAAAAGACUCAUCAGUUUUUUCUUCAUGAGAAAUUACUGAAGCAGAACAUGAACAAGCCUGCUGUUACUUUCAUGAAACAUAUAACGAAUGUGUAGUUCAGACCUAAUUUUUUAAAGAGUUCAAGUUUCAUCUGAUAUUCUUUCUUUGAUAAAUUAUACCGAGAACAUAAAAACUCCUAUACUGGUCAGGAUUAUAACAGGUGGUAUUAUUUUAAAGCUUCAUAGACAUAAAAGUGCUUCAGAGCAGAUUAGAAGGUAUGCACAGAAAUAAUGCAAUUUCAGAACACGAACAAUAGAAUUGAUUUUCAUCAAACUGAGCAAAAUUUUAAUGGCUGAGAUUGGAAAUAUAAUUUAAUAAGACUCAGAACUUCAUCAUUUGGGUUAUAAGUAAAGCCACAAAUUCCUUUGGUGAUACAUCUAGGUAGGUUUCAGAAAAGUGCUCAAGACUGAAUUAGGCAGAUGUGUUUACUUGAAUUAAGAGAACCACAUACUUGAACACGGUGUCUAACACUGAUGAAACUGUACAUCAACCUGGUGCGGAGUGUGGGAUGGGGUGUUUCUUAUAGGCACUGUGGUGUGUUUUUCAGCAACAAAUCUGAACUCAUACAAAUAUUCCUGUGGAUGUCUUACAGCAUGGAAACGUUUUCCCACUAUCUAUAGAGCAAAUAAAGUUUAUUCCCUUAAACCUACGUCUGUGUGAUUUCUCCAGAUGGAUUCCAGCCCUGCAUAACACUGAAUGGGACCAAAAUACUGACUUCAAUUAAAAAGCUCCUUUUCAUAACCAACUCUAGAAUCACCCACGCUCCAGAAUUAGAUACCAUUAUUACAGAAAGUGUUAGCAUCAUGGGUCAGAGAAAUGGAUGGGAUUCAAUAAGAGUCAGGAGUCAAUUAGAACUAAAGGUGCUAUUGCAGAUGGUGGACUCACAAAAUUCUCCUUCACACAUACAGACAUCAAGGAGAUGCAUGGAAAAAUG
ensembl:lncRNA